UAGCUAAUCCUGGUCGGACAUCAGGAGGUUAGUGCAAUGGCAUAAGCUAGCUUGACUGCGAGCGUGACGGCGCGAGCAGGUGCGAAAGCAGGUCAUAGUGAUCCGGUGGUUCUGAAUGGAAGGGCCAUCGCUCAACGGAUAAAAGGUACUCCGGGGAUAACAGGCUGAUACCGCCCAAGAGUUCAUAUCGACGGCGGUGUUUGGCACCUCGAUGUCGGCUCAUCACAUCCUGGGGCUGAAGUAGGUCCCAAGGGUAUGGCUGUUCGCCAUUUAAAGUGGUACGCGAGCUGGGUUUAGAACGUCGUGAGACAGUUCGGUCCCUAUCUGCCGUGGGCGCUGGAGAAUUGAGGGGGGCUGCUCCUAGUACGAGAGGACCGGAGUGGACGCAUCACUGGUGUUCGGGUUGUCAUGCCAAUGGCACUGCCCGGUAGCUAAAUGCGGAAGAG
rnacentral:rRNA from 1 species